GCCCAUGUCCUAGGGGGGCAGCCGGCGGGCGGCAUGGCAAGUGCAAAAAGUAACACUGGAAUGUUGCUGGCAUCAAUUGGACUACAGUUUAGAUGGUUAACGUGUAAGCCAUUUUGUUGUUCAUUUUUCAUUUGUAUCUUGACAUGAAAUGCAGAAUUAAAUUUCUGUUUUAUGGGAUUGCUCUACGUGCAUGGAUGUUCUCACAACUCUCCUGCUACUAUCAUUCAAAAUGAAUUUCCUUGGGAGGGGAAAAUGUGUGGGUCCAAAAUGAUAUUAACUAGUGUUUUUGGUCCUUGAGCAUGACUUGGGCAAGCUCAGGUGACAAAUGGGAGUUGGUGCAUCAAUGACAGAGAAAGCCCCAAAUCAUCCAAAUGGAUGGAUGUUGAUGGCGGGAUGUUCAUCCGAAAUUACAUCCUCCCCGGUAUUGGGGCAUGGGGUGUCCUGUCACAGCUCGUUGGCAGCAACACCAGAAGAGCUCACAAAGCACGGAGACAGGUCGUCAGCUGCCUCCCAGAAUUGCGGCGAUAGGCGCUAGACCUACGGCGCCAAGUACACUGGACUUCCUCUAGGUGCACCGCCUCAACACGUGGGCCGGAGUAGGGCUCGCAUCUUUUUGCAUUGGGAACAUCGGACACAAGCUCACAGACACAUCAAAUUUCUCUUCACCAACUAAACUUCUCUCCACAGAUCAAAUCACAUCUCACUGCAAGCCCUAAAUCCAAAAAGUUGCAUUAUGUUCUUAGUUUACACUAUUAAGUAGCCAUUCCACUUUAACCUCCACACCCUCUGUUUUUUCUAACGAGUUCACUGAUAACCAAAUCAUACGACCAGCCAUUUUUUUCCAAAUUUAACAAUAGUACUGAGGUAAAUAUUGUCUUUUUAGUAGAGUAAUAACAAAGGAAGCCCAUUCUCUCUCAAUGUUGUUUGCCAUGGCACACAUGUCCCAACCCAAUCGAAUAUUGACUAAGCAAUAACAAUGAAAUUCCUUUGAUCAAAAUAAAUAUCCAAACCCUGCAUGAAAGAAUCAUAUCUUUUAAACACUAGUUCAUGAAUUUUAACCCGUAAAAUAAAUACAAACCAAAACGUUGCUAGAAAAUGCAUGUCAAUACUUGCCUCCUCUUUCUGGGAUGCCAGCAGGGCAUAUUUGGGAGAAUGUAGUUGGGGGAGAGGAUGCUGACUGUACUGCCAGCUGACAGAGUUAGGGUGCCACCUGUCAUCAAACUCCAUACAAUGGUGGUGCCCUUCGAUGAGACACUCGAGGUGGAGCAGUGAAGGAGACUUCCAAUGUGGAUGAAUGACGACUUAUGGAUGUUGCAUGUGUGGAUGGAUGUCUUUUUCCCCCGCUCCAAGGCCAAGUUUGCACAUGGGGCCUACCUUUAUCACAGGUAAGUGGUGGGGGAGCUUGCUUAUCUGAUUGAAGAGUGUCCCAAUCAAGGCAAUUUGAAAAUGGGACGACAUUAAGGUGUCCUCUACAUCUUCAGCCCAUCAUUCCAGCACCAUCUAUAUCAUCCUUCAGACACCUUCUAAUGACAAAGUGUGGUGCAUUGUGCAGCAUUUGGUUUGGGGUUGGAAUCUACAAUUUUUUAUUUUUGUGUAGCUUUCUUGACAUAAAAAGAAACAGAAAAAGAAAAAGAAAGCAACUUUAUAUACAUUUUUGGAGAAACAACUUUAAGCUUUAUUGUGAGUAAAUUCUUCAUAGGAUGAAGUAACCCAAAGACAAUCAAGGUUAUUUUUACUUGUCUCACAUGCAUUUCUAUUUUAGAAUUUUCACUUCAAAUCUAAUAUAUGAAUGUGGAUUUCUAUUUUAGUUAUGUGUUUAUCAUUUUGGAAUAAUAAAAAGAGCAUCAGGUUGUGUUAUUUA